rnacentral:lncRNA from 1 species
CAAAGGUUUGAAAAGAAACUAUCUCUAUAUUGUAAUAUUAAGAAAGAUAUCUUAGAAAAGACAACAUUGGCAACUCAUGAAAGAUUUCAUUAAUGUUGCACAGGUCAUUUCAAAGAGGGCUUAUGAGACCAAAACCGGGAGCUCUUAAUGCUGUGACCAAAGAUUGAAGUUCUCCAUAGAAUAUUACGGUCACUCAAAAGUGCUAUGUUUUCCUAAGGAGAUAAGAUUUAACCACUCAUAUACAGGACUGGUGAUAUACGAAAGUAAAAAUAAAUGUCCCCCAAGUUUAACAACAAUAAAAAUUAAUGUUGCAUAUUAAUUUUGAUUGAAUUCUUAUUGAAUGCCAUACUUGUCAUAGGCUAGAUAUAACUAUUCAAAUUUAAAGUUUAUAUACAACAAAAGAUACACGAUAAUACGUAACUGACAAAUUAGAAGACAAAUUAGAAAUUAGAAGAUACCUGCAUAAAUCCUAAUGCUGAAGCACGCAUUCUUAAAAUUCCUUAAUUUCAAGUGGAAAAAGGACUAACAACAUA